GGCAGUAGCAGCAUGUUUUCAAGAGAUGCCACCAGUACUUGAAUUCUAUGAGUUGGCCAGCAACAAAGAAAGUGGCUUGAAAGAGCAAGAAGUGAGUAGUGACACCCAAGGUGGGCGAGUGGAAUAUAAAAGCAUUCUCCAGGGUUCUUAGUAAAAUUAAGGAAGCGGAAUGUGAAAGGAGGCAUGCAUGACUGCAGUCAUGCAGGAUGGAGAGCUGAAUGAUUUUUAUUUGGAAAUUAAAGAAAAGGCCAAUUCAAAAGUCCUGAAAACUUGAGGACCCUCAGGUGUCCUUGCCUGAUUUUGGUAUCAGGGAGAUACUGGUUUCAUAGAAUGAGUUAGGUGAAAGAGAAAACACAGCUUGGUGAUAACUAUGCAAAGAUAUGAGGCAGAAGGAUAUAAAAAAAACUUGGAGAAUAUGCCAGUAUCCAGAAUUCGCUUAAUUUUUAUUCCAGCACAAAAAACAGAAGACUGGGAAUUUUUGUUGGAGGAUGAUGAAAGAUGUCUACUGGCUGGAUGAACAAGAUGAAUCUUCCAUAUUUAUGCUUUAUAGUUACAGUUUUAUGAUUAGAGAAAGAAAAAGAAACUCAAAUAGACCCAAAACACUAGAUCUUGCAGAACCCAAAGGGGAAACAGCAGAACUCUUCAAAGCCAGGAACAGAAAAAUUUUAGAACAAAAUGCUAAAAUAAAUUGUAAGGAAUUUAAAAAGUAUAGUAAAUAUUUACAAAUUAUUCCUAAAACAGUGCUUUUUUGCUGGUAAGGAGAGAAAAUUACAUUUAGCAAUUUUUUAUUCCUCCUGUCUCUGAUCUACAUGACUACACAUACCAAAGAUACCCUCAGCUUGCAAAAUACCUUUUAUGAAUAGUUCUGCUUAAAAUAUUACUUCAAGUUGUACAAAAUACAUUUUUAAAUUUGGAAUACACAGUAUUCUAUGGAACAAUGCUGUCAUUAAAUACUCUGAGAAAAAAAGGAUUGCAUGGUCAAUUUUUCAGAAAAUGCUACAUAUAUUUUACUCUUGGAGAUUUACAAUUGGAUUUUUCUUAUUAAGAUUUCAAUAAAUCUGGCAGCAAAGAUUCCCAUAAAUCUGGCAGUAAAGACUUUGUAUAGCCUAAUAUUUUUCAAAUUUAUUUAAACAGGAAGCCCUUUUUAAAUUUAACAUCUUGUGGAACAACUGUUUAAGGAAAAAAUAAUAUAUUUGAGAAAAUGCUACUGUAGAUCCAUAAUAUUUACAUUGGUUACAACUCUAGACCUUUGAGAAUUCCCAAAUUUAUAAAAUCCAGAAGUUAAACUAAGAAACAGAUGUUUGGAGAUUAGCUAGGCUAGCUAAGUUACUUGCUUUAUCAAAACCAACAUCACAACCCAUAAGAUUCAUUCGUGCUAGAUGCCCUCAUUAUAAUAUUUUUAUUUCUACAGAUGUUUAUAUCUCAGAGCAUAUGGCAGCAAUAUCUUUGUUCUCAUUUUAAUUGACUAUUACUGAUUUUUUAUGGUCACUGAUGAGUAGUUGAAACACAAAUGAUAAAUCUACAAUGGUUAAAAAUUCAAGAUAUAGUACAGUGUCUAAAUAGCUGUAUGACCUAGUUAUUUAACAUCUCCGCGCCUCAGUUUCCACAUCUACAAUUUGGGAUAAUGGUAGCUCCUACCUUGUAGAGUUUUUAUGAUAUUUAAAUGGAUGGAUGCUUGUUAAGUUCUUGGAACUGUCCCUGUCAUAUAGUAAGCACUACUUAAGGGUUGCUAAAUUAAAUAUACAAUGUUUUCUCCAUCAGUCUUAUACCAUAACAUAGAUAUCAUAGAUUUGGAUUUUGUUAACUGUGAAUAGCCAUCUUCUCUCCCCAUGUGUUGUACGAAGACAGAGGAAGAGAAAGAGAAAGAAUACUUAUCCUGCCUACUAUAGCAAACACAUCAAUUGCUCCACAUCCACAAAUUUGAGAGAGUUUUUUAUUUUCGACAUUCAUUAAAUUUGGUUUGUUUGUUUAAAUGAAGGUUAUCUUAGGACCACAUACAUCAGAAAGUAAAGUUGGAAUUCCUAGGUGCCAUUUAGAUGACUGGAAUCAGAAUCUGAACCUACGAGGGUGUUAUUCAGAAAUGUCUGCUUCUUCCAGCCUGUUCAGGUUCACACCAUCAGUUUUCCCAAGUAACACAAAUCUGAAAACAAGUGGCUUAAUUAAGGAACCUUUCCCUCCAGUCAUGAGAGGUCUCAGAUGGACAGUGUAGGCUGGCAGGCGGAACUACUCCAUGUUAUCUCAGGGCUGCAGGCUCCUUGCGUCUUUCUGCUCAGCCCUUCUGAGAGUGUGCUUGUUGCUAUAUGGUCACAGGGCAUUGUUCUUCCUCUGGGCAUCGUGUUUAUAUCACAGGCAGGAAGAACAGAAGGCCAAAGUGCAAAGGGCAAAAGAUUCAGUCCAGGUGAGCCUCCUCCUAUUGUAAGGAGUUUGCCAGGAAGCCUCACUAUACAACUACCAAUUAUAAUUCAUUAACCAAGCCUGGGGCACAUUGCCACUGUUCACCCUUAUCUGUAAGGAAGGACAGGAAAUGCCAUCUUGUAGCUGGGCACAUUUUUAUGCCCAACAAAACUGGAAUAGGCUCUUUGGCAUACUCUGUAUUUCACGUUUUAAGAAACUUUGCUUGCUCAAGCCUCCACUCCUUUAUCUGUACAGUUCACUUGGACAAGACUGCCUUUUCCAACUUAACUAUUUCACAUGCUUCUAUUCCUUCCACAUUCAGUACAAGUUAUUUACUCUUCUGAGAAGCAUUCCUAUCUGACCCUGGGCAGACUCAAUCCCCUUCCCUUAUUUCAUAUUUGCAUUACUCUAUUAUAGCAUUAUCAUAUGUAUAACUCAGUAGACAGAUCACUUUGAAGGCCAAGAUAGAUGGUUUAAGUCUAGAGGCCAACUACAGCAGUGGACUCAGUCAUUGCUUAAUAAAUGUUUAUGGAAUGAAUGAAUGAACAAAUGAAUAUGUAAAAAUUAGAAUGAACAACUAAGCAUAUAAAUGAAA
rnacentral:lncRNA from 10 species